rnacentral:rRNA from 1 species
GAUGAACGCUGGCGGCGUGCCUAAUACAUGCAAGUCGAACGAGGUGCUUUUGUAGCAAUACGAAAGUAUCCUAGUGGCGAACGGGUGAGUAACGCGUUGGUGACCUACCCAAAGUGUGGGAUAACAGUUCGAAAGAACUGCUAAUACCGCAUGUGGUUAUCGGGUUUUAGAAACUGAUAACUAAAGGAGCAAUUCGCUUUGGGAGGACCUGCGUCCCAUCAGCUAGUUGGUGAGGUAAUGGCUCACCAAGGCUACGACGGGUAGGGGACCUGAGAGGGUGGCCCCCCACAAUGGAACUGAAACACGGUCCAGUACACCUACGGGUGGCAGGCUAGGUAGGGAA